CCGAGUUUACAACUCCCAAACCCAAUGUGAACCAUACCAAACUGUUGCCUCGGCGGGGUCACGCCCCGGGUGCGUCGCAGCCCCGGAACCAGGCGCCCGCCGGAGGGACCAACCAAACUCUUUCUGUAGUCCCCCUCGCGGACGUUAUUUCUUACAGCUCUGAGCAAAAAUUCAAAAUGAAUCA
rnacentral:misc_RNA from 1 species